GUGGGGAAUAUUGGACAAUGGGGGGAACCCUGAUCCAGCCAUGCCGCGUGUGUGAAGAAGGCCUUUUGGUUGUAAAGCACUUUAAGCGAGGAGGAGGCUACCGAGAUUAAUACUCUUGGAUAGUGGACGUUACUCGCAGAAUAAGCACCGGCUAACUCUGUGCCAGCAGCCGCGGUAAUACAGAGGGUGCAAGCGUUAAUCGGAUUUACUGGGCGGAAAGCGCGCGUAGGUGGCCAAUUAAGUCAAAUGUGAAAUCCCCGAGCUUAACUUGGGAAUUGCAUUCGAUACUGGUUGGCUAGAGUAUGGGAGAGGAUGGUAGAAUUCCAGGUGUAGCGGUGAAAUGCGUAGAGAUCUGGAGGAAUACCGAUGGCGAAGGCAGCCAUCUGGCCUAAUACUGACACUGAGGUGCGAAAGCAUGGGGAGCAAACAGGAUUAGAAACCCCGGUAGUCC
rnacentral:rRNA from 1 species